UACAGAGGGUGCUAGCGUUAAUCGGAUUUACUGGGCGUAAAGCGCGCGUAGGUGGCCAAUUAAGUCAAAUGUGAAAUCCCCGAGCUUAACUUGGGAAUUGCAUUCGAUACUGGUUGGCUAGAGUAUGGGAGAGGAUGGUAGAAUUCCAGGUGUAGCGGUGAAAUGCGUAGAGAUCUGGAGGAAUACCGAUGGCGAAGGCAGCCAUCUGGCCUAAUACUGACACUGAGGUGCGAAAGCAUGGGGAGCAAACAGG
rnacentral:rRNA from 1 species